UACAGAGGGGGCGAGCGUUGUUCGGAAUCACUGGGCGUAAAGGGCGCGUAGGUGGUGGCUUAAGCGUGCGGUGAAAGCUCGGGGCUCAACCCCGAGUCGGCCGUGCGAACUGGGCUCACUGGAGCAUAGUAGAGGCAGGUGGAAUUCCGGGUGUAGCGGUGGAAUGCGUAGAGAUCCGGAAGAACACCGGUGGCGAAGGCGGCCUGCUGGGCUAUGGCUGACACUGAGGCGCGACAGCGUGGGGAGCAAACAGG
rnacentral:rRNA from 1 species